rnacentral:lncRNA from 1 species
GUAGUAUUUGUCUUGCUAAGAUGACGCCGAAGAGCAUGGCUGACAUUUUACAUGCCCGUAACCAAUUGUGCUAUUCUGUUAGUUUUUUUGCAUUGUUUGUAACGUAGUUUUUAAAACUUAUUUUGAACAUAAUGUUGCUGCUACUGUCUCUUAUGACCGAAAAUAACUUCUGGAGAUCAGAACUGGGAUUACAUACCACGAACUGGAAGAAGCUUUUUCCUUUAACGAGUCUGACAAGAAAGAUAUACUGCUCUCCCGGGAACAGGCUCAGAUCCUCGUCAUUUGCGUGAAGAAAAGACAGAGGAAAAGAGGAUGCAGAUCAGGCUACCUUUUGAGAAUCCAGUCGUGGCUGAACGACGACAGGGAUAAUAUAGAGCUGGAAGGAUUUUCAAUGCACCGGCAGAACAGAGAAGCUACGUCUGGUAAGACGAGGGGUGGAGGCAGAGCAGGCAACAGAUGGCACACAGACAGCAGAGUUGGGGACAGAUAUGCAGGGACAGACUGGCAGAGACAGUGAGUCUCAGGUAAGUUUGUUGAGUCUUUGUUUGGCAACAUUAUGAAAGGUUCUCAAUUUUUUUUACUUGUAAAAUAGGAACAUAAUUGGAAAAUGCCAUGGAUACCCCCACUCUCAACUUAAACUGGUGACUGAACUAAGAUUUGUUAAAAGCAAUGGUAUUGCUGUUGUGA